AUACGCAUUCCUCCCUUAUGGUUGCUCCAUAUCACUAUGGAGUGUUGUCUAUUUUAGUUGUUUUUACUAUGUGUUAAUAAGAAAACUUUCUUUUAUCUCCAUGCCUGUAAAACCGGUGACCGUCAGCAGGUGAGAACUUGUCGUUCGCUUGCUUAAUAUAUACUCCCUCCGCCCCAAAAUAAGUGUCUCGGCUUUGUACUAACUUUGUACUAAAGUUAGUACAAAGUUGAGUCACUUAUUUUGGGACUGAGGGAGUACAAUGCAUGCCUAGGCCUUUUCUCUAAAAUAGAAGGAUUCCAUUUAUUAAUUGAAAUUUGUUCUGUGUGUUCAUCGACAUAAAGUGAUUGAUCUAUUUACAUGUCUUGUCAGUGAUGUGUAUGAUAUUGAAGAUUUUAUCAUGGUUUUCUUAAACUGAACAGGCAGUAUGAGUUCCAGAAGUUUUGUUACCAAGAACAAUAAACUGAAAAUAGUAAUAGUACCUGAUUUUGAUAGUCUUGCAUCAGUGUAAUUUCGUGCUAUUUGAGUUGUUAAGCAACCUGGCGCCAUUUUUUUUUAUAGAUGACUGUAGUUCAUCUCUGCUCUGGUAAUUAGAUUAGCUUUUAAAAAGUAUUCUGUAGCCUUGCAUAAUAUUUGUCCAAUUUGGGAGUUGCUUUGUUGAGCAGAAGUUCACAUGUUGAGUCUAGUCAAGUAAUGUCUGCAUCAGAAAACGCUAAUGUUACUUGGCUAAAAUAGCAUGUAUGUAAAGUACCGCUAUAUCCUUUAUGAAGAAAGUAUUCAAUCUAAAUUUACAUACUUAUAUUAUAAUAACUAUUAUCCUUCUUACAGUUCUGGGUGUCUCAAGUACUCUUACAAUAUCUUGGUAAAUACAAAUAGACUGUCUCAGUAUUACUUUACUAAGCUAAUGACCCACUAUUUUUUUGGGAAACUUCCUCGGUCUCCUAGGUGUUGCAUCUCCUACUUUAUCUUCAAACUGAGCACUUAUGAACCGGAAGUUGGUUCAUAUCUGUCAAUAAGAUUUUUUUCUCAAAUUUUUUUCUUAAACUGCAAAGACCUUAUGAAAUAGAACUUUUGUUACCAAGAAUAAUUAACUGAAAGAUAGAUAGUGGAUUUGCUUUGUUGCUAAGUCUAAACAUGAGAAGCUUGUUUUUGGUCAGAGUGGCGGUGCCGACAAAGCUAGUGGUAUGUACAAUAGUAGAGAGGCCCUUGAUUUGCUUAUAUGUGGUUCAGCUAUUAAGUUACUGAAGCAAAGGUACUUUCCUGUCUAUUGAGAGUAUGGUUUCUUCAAAUUGUGAAGUGAAUCCUAAUAUGUCAAAACUCUAGUCCUGUAGUAUGUGCUGGUCUCGCACAUAUUUGGUUAAAAUAGCAUGUACAUCAGGGAAGCUACGCAAAGAAAGUACUCAAUCUAUUUUCGGGUAAGAACAUUGCUAACAUUCACACUUAUAUUAAUCGCUAUUUGAGUUGUUAAGCAACCUGGCGCCAAUUUUUUUAUAGAUGACUAUAGUUCAUCUCUGCUCUGGUAAUUAGAUUAGCUUUUAAAAAGUAUUGUGUAGCCUUGCAUAAUAUUUGUCCAAUUUGGGAGUUGCUUUGUUGAGCAGAAGUUCACAUGUCGAGUCUAGUCAAGUAAUGUCUGCAACAGAAAAUGCUAAUGUUACUUGGCUAAAAUAGCAUGUAUGUAAAGUACCGCUAUAUCCUUUAUGAAGAAAGUAUUCAAUCUAAAUUUACAUACUUAUAUUAUAAUAACUAUUAUCCUUCUUACAGUUCUGGGUGUCUCAAGUACUCUUACAAUAUCUUGGUAAAUACAAAUAGACUGUCUCAGUAUUACUUUACUAAGCUAAUGACCCACUAUUUUUUUGGGAAACUUCCUCGGUCUCCUAGGUGUUGCAUCUCCUACUUUAUCUUCAAACUGAGCACUUAUGAACCGGAAGUUGGUUCAUAUCUGUCAAUAAGAUUUUUUUUCUCAAAUUUUUUUCUUAAACUGCAAAGACCUUAUGAAAUAGAACUUUUGUUACCAAGAAUAAUUAACUGAAAGAUAGAUAGUGGAUUUGCUUUGUUGCUAAGUCUAAACAUGAGAAGCUUGUUUUUGGUCAGAAUGGCGGUGCCAAACAAAGCUAGUGGUAUGUACAAUAGUAGAGAGGCCCUUGAUUUGCUUAUAUGUGGUUCAGCUAUUAAGUUACUGAAGCAAAGUCCUGUAGUAUGUGCUGGUCUCGCACAUAUUUGGUUAAAAUAGCAUGUACAUCAGGGAAACUACGCAAAGAAAGUUCUCAAUCUAUUUUCGGGUAAGAACAUUGCUAACAUUCACACUUAUAUUAAUCGCUAUUUGAGUUGUUAAGCAACCUGGCGCCAAUUUUUUUAUAGAUGACUGUAGUUCAUCUCUGCUCUGGUAAUUAGAUUAGCUUUUAAAAAGUAUUGUGUAGCCUUGCAUAAUAUUUGUCCAAUUUGGGAGUUGCUUUGUUGAGCAGAAGUUCACAUGUUGAGUCUAGUCAAGUAAUGUCUGCAACAGAAAACGCUAAUGUUACUUGGCUAAAAUAGCAUGUAUGUAAAGUACCGCUAUAUCCUUUAUGAAGAAAGUAUUCAAUCUAAAUUUUGCAUACUUAUAUUAUAAUAACUAUUAUCCUUCUUACAGUUCUGGGUGUCUCAAGUACUCUUACAAUAUCUUGGUAAAUAAAAAUAGACUGUCUCAGUAUUACUUUACUAAGCUAAUGACCCACUAUUUUUUUGGGAAACUUCCUCGGUCUCCUAGGUGUUGCAUCUCCUACUUUAUCUUCAAACUGAGCACUUAUGAACCGGAAGUUGGUUCAUAUCUGUCAAUAAGAUUUUUUUCUCAAAUUUUUUUCUUAAACUGCAAAGACCUUAUGAAAUAGAACUUUUGUUACCAAGAAUAAUUAACUGAAAGAUAGAUAGUGGAUUUGCUUUGUUGCUAAGUCUAAACAUGAGAAGCUUGUUUUUGGUCAGAAUGGCGGUGCCGAACAAAGCUAGUGGUAUGUACAAUAGUAGAGAGGCCCUUGAUUUGCUUAUAUGUGGUUCAGCUAUUAAGUUACUGAAGCAAAGGUACUUUCCUGUCUAUUGAGAGUAUGGUUUCUUCAAAUUGUGAAGUGAAUCCUAAUAUGUCAAAACUCUAGUCCUGUAGUAUGUGCUGGUCUCGCACAUAUUUGGUUAAAAUAGCAUGUACAUCAGGGAAACUACGCAAAGAAAGUUCUCAAUCUAUUUUCGGGUAAGAACAUUGCUAACAUUCACACUUAUAUUAAUCGCUAUUUGAGUUGUUAAGCAACCUGGCGCCAAUUUUUUUAUAGAUGACUAUAGUUCAUCUCUGCUCUGGUAAUUAGAUUAGCUUUUAAAAAGUAUUGUGUAGCCUUGCAUAAUAUUUGUCCAAUUUCGGAGUUGCUUUGUUGAGCAGAAGUUCACGUGUCGAGUCUAGUCAAGUAAUGUCUGCAACAGAAAAUGCUAAUGUUACUUGGCUAAAAUAGCAUGUAUGUAAAGUAUCGCUAUAUCCUUUAUGAAGAAAGUAUUCAAUCUAAAUUUACAUACUUAUAUUAUAAUAACUAUUAUCCUUCUUACAGUUCUGGGUGUCUCAAGUACUCUUACAAUAUCUUGGUAAAUACAAAUAGACUGUCUCAGUAUUACUUUACUAAGCUAAUGACCCACUAUUUUUUUGGGAAACUUCCUCGGUCUCCUAGGUGUUGCAUCUCCUACUUUAUCUUCAAACUGAGCACUUAUGAACCGGAAGUUGGUUCAUAUCUGUCAAUAAGAUUUUUUUCUCAAAUUUUUUUCUUAAACUGCAAAGACCUUAUGAAAUAGAACUUUUGUUACCAAGAAUAAUUAACUGAAAGAUAGAUAGUGGAUUUGCUUUGUUGCUAAGUCUAAACAUGAGAAGCUUGUUUUUGGUCAGAAUGGCGGUGCCGAACAAAGCUAGUGGUAUGUACAAUAGUAGAGAGGCCCUUGAUUUGCUUAUAUGUGGUUCAGCUAUUAAGUUACUGAAGCAAAGGUACUUUCCUGUCUAUUGAGAGUAUGGUUUCUUCAAAUUGUGAAGUGAAUCCUAAUAUGUCAAAACUCUAGUCCUGUAGUAUGUGCUGGUCUCGCACAUAUUUGGUUAAAAUAGCAUGUACAUCAGGGAAACUACGCAAAGAAAGUUCUCAAUCUAUUUUCGGGUAAGAACAUUGCUAACAUUCACACUUAUAUUAAUCGCUAUUUGAGUUGUUAAGCAACCUGGCGCCAAUUUUUUUAUAGAUGACUGUAGUUCAUCUCUGCUCUGGUAAUUAGAUUAGCUUUUAAAAAGUAUUGUGUAGCCUUGCAUAAUAUUUGUCCAAUUUGGGAGUUGCUUUGUUGAGCAGAAGUUCACAUGUUGAGUCUAGUCAAGUAAUGUCUGCAACAGAAAACGCUAAUGUUACUUGGCUAAAAUAGCAUGUAUGUAAAGUACCGCUAUAUCCUUUAUGAAGAAAGUAUUCAAUCUAAAUUUACAUACUUAUAUUAUAAUAACUAUUAUCCUUCUUACAGUUCUGGGUGUCUCAAGUACUCUUACAAUAUCUUGGUAAAUACAAAUAGACUGUCUCAGUAUUACUUUACUAAGCUAAUGACCCACUAUUUUUUUGGGAAACUUCCUCGGUCUCCUAGGUGUUGCAUCUCCUACUUUAUCUUCAAACUGAGCACUUAUGAACCGGAAGUUGGUUCAUAUCUGUCAAACUGAGCUCUGUCGAAUUGCAUGCCAUGUGAAGCAGUUGGGCGUCAAGCCACACGUCGCGGGGUGAGAAGAAGUUCAGUGUGGCUUCGUUGGACGUCAAGUUGCAUGCUAGGUGAAGCAAUUAGGCGUGGCUUCGUUGGAAGUUAAGCUGCACGAUGCGUGAUAAUUUUUGAUAGCUGAUAAUGGUGGGGCAUCGAGUUUCAUUGUUCGAACAGAACAGACUUCAACUUUUCUUGGUGGCAUGUUCGAGUUGCACUCGCUGACUCAUACUUCAUGGACAUGUGCUUGUGCGCGUGGCAGGAUUUGUAUAUAUGGGUUGUUGUGGUCAGCGCAUAGAGUUCUGACCGUGUCCGUCUUAUUUUCAUAUCGUCCAGUUUGGAACUGUGGGUAGUGCGGUUACGUAUGUCCGUCCCUUUUUUUUUUGCUGAUGUACUCCUAUUUGUUCGUUGCGUCUGACUCCUUGAUGGAAACGUAUCUAAUUUUCCUUGUAUUCCGGGCUAUCCUUGUAUAUAAUGGACAGAUUUAAUACUAAGAUAUCUGUACGUGACAUGUUGCACUGGUUGUACAUGUCAAUAUUUGUAUGUUACGUUUAUAUCUUUUA